rnacentral:rRNA from 1 species
AGUGAACGCUGGCGGUAGGCCCAACACAUGCAAGUCGAACGGCAGCACAGAGGAGCUUGCUCCUUGGGUGGCGAGUGGCGGACGGGUGAGGAAUACAUCGGAAUCUACUCUGUCGUGGGGGAUAACGUAGGGAAACUUACGCUAAUACCGCAUACGACCUACGGGUGAAAGCAGGGGAUCUUCGGACCCUGCGCGAUUGAAUGAGCCGAUGUCGGAUUAGCUAGUUGGCGGGGUAAAGGCCCACCAAGGCGACGAUCCGUAGCUGGUCUGAGAGGAUGAUCAGCCACACUGGAACUGAGACACGGUCCAGACUCCUACGGGAGGCAGCAGUGGGGAAUAUUGGACAAUGGGCGUAAGCCUGAUCCAGCCAUACCGCGUGGGUGAAGAAGGCCUUCGGGUUGUAAAGCCCUUUUGUUGGGAAAGAAAUCCAUCUGGUUAAUACCCGGGUGGGAUGACGGUACCCAAAGAAUAAGCACCGGCUAACUUCGUGCCAGCCGCCGCAGUAA